UGAACACAGCUGGUGGUAUCUUGU
rnacentral:miRNA from 1 species